GAGAUUGGAAAGACAUGGGGGAAGGCCAAGAGCUGAAAGCCAGGAAAGCCCCGUUCCCACUGCUCUGGGAGUCCUUAGCUGCUGCUAUCUGCCUGAAGCUGUGGGUAUGGGGCCGGUCUGAAGGUGGCUGUUCUCAACACACAGCACCUGCAGCCACCACACCUGUUCUGCAGUGUGUCUGCAGGUGGAAACUCACCUGUGCGUGAUACCCAUCCUGUGGUCUCCACAGGUGUUAUUUGGCCUCUUGCGUAGGCUCCGAAAUCUCAAACCCUUUCCUGCAGGCAAGGAAAAAGACCAGAACCACUUGGAUUUAACACUCUGCAGCUUCCAUGACAAGGUACUCAGGUCUUGCUAGAAUGAGUGGGAUUAAAAUCAAUUAUACAACCCCCCAGACCAGAUGAACUUGCUGUAGGAAUCUCCCCGAAACAAAGCGAUGUACGCAGCAUUACUUCCUUCCCGUGCCAACAUAAUGAACGUGGAAAUGAGUGUCCUUGAUGAAGAGCCACGGGGGUCAGCCUCUGACAGAGGCCAGCAGUGGCCAGCAUGUGGUGCUCAGUCCCUGCCUCUGUCUGCUCGGGAAGCUCAGAACUCAGAGCUCGAAAUGGUGAAGGAUGUGGCUGUUUCCUGCCUGACUCAGGACAGUUUAAUAUCAGGGUCCCAAAUGCAGUAUUCACCCAAAUGA
rnacentral:lncRNA from 1 species